ensembl:snoRNA
ACCCUUUUAAAGGCACUUAUUGGGCCUUUUGCUAGUGACCCACUGAGCCGUCGACAAAGGACAGUGUAAAGAUAUCGCUUUUGGGUGAAGCAGCCACAUGUUGUGUUGUUUGGCUUCAGUCAGCGGUGUAACAACG